GUGUUGUAAGUGUCUAAGGGCGCACGGUGGAUGCCUUGGCGCAAGGAGCCGAUGAAGGACGUGGGAGGCUGCGAUAUGCCUCGGGGAGCUGUCAACCGAGCUGUGAUCCGAGGAUUUCCGAAUGGGGAAACCCAGCACCAGUCAUGUGGUGUUACCCGCCGUUGAAUAUAUAGACGGUGU
rnacentral:rRNA from 1 species